AUUGAACGCUGGCGGCAGGCCUAACACAUGCAAGUCGAGCGAGCGGCGGACGGGUGAGUAAUGUCUGGGAAACUGCCUGAUGGAGGGGGAUAACUACUGGAAACGGUAGCUAAUACCGCAUACCAUCAGAUGUGCCCAGAUGGGAUUAGCUAGUAGGUGGGGUAACGGCUCACCUAGGGGACGAUCCCUAGCUGGUCUGAGAGGAUGACCAGCCACACUGGAACUGAGACACGGUCCAGACUCCGACGGGGGGCAGGAGUGGGGAAUAUUGCAAUAUGGGCGCAAGCCUGAUGCAGCCAUGCCGCGUGUGUGAAGAAGGCCUUCGGGUUGUAAAGCACUUUCAGCGGGGAGGCGUUACCCGCAGAAGAAGCACCGGCGAACUCCGAGCCAGCAGCCGCGGUAAUUC
rnacentral:rRNA from 1 species